GCGGAGAAAAGAAUGACUUGAUAUAAACAACUGAAUCAUAUGCAAGGCAUCUUUUGGCUUCUUUUAUAAAAAAGAGUCUUCUUUGAGUUGUAGCAUCUUCAAAAUCAAAAUCCCCUCACAGAAACCCAGGAAAUUAUAUCGGGCUUUGGCUUGCGAAACUACAUACUAGGCCUCCUUUUCUGACAUCACUAGCAAUUACACAUACACCCAGCCUGCCUUUCAAGAUGACGUUAGCAAUCAAAGCACAGCAUCUUCCUCUUCACAUUUGUGGUAGUCUAGAUCAUUAUUGCUGACU
rnacentral:misc_RNA from 1 species